GACGAACGCUGGCGGCGUGCCUAACACAUGCAAGUCAACUUGACUGAAGGAGCAAUCUGACAGUAGAGUGGCGCAAGGGUGCGUAACGCGUAAGUAACUUGCCCAAGGUAAGGAAUAACGUCGAGAAAUCGGCGCUAAUACCUCAUAAUGCAGCGGAUCCGCAUGGAUAUGUUGUUAAAGGUUUACCGCCUUGGGAUAGGCUUGCGUCUGAUUAGUUAGUUGGUGUGGUAACGGCACACCAAGGCUACGAUCAGUAACUGGUCUGAGAGGAUGAUCAGUCACACUGGAACUGAGACACGGUCCAGACUCCUACGGGAGGCAGCAGUGAGGAAUAUUGGGCAAUGCUCGAAAGAGUGACCCAGCAACGCCGCGUGGAGGAUGAAGGUAUUCUAUAUCGUAAACUCCUGUGAGAGCAGACGAAAGACAGAUUAUUAAUCUGGAUGACUGUAUGUACUCAGAGGAAGCCCCGGCUAACGUACGU
rnacentral:rRNA from 1 species